AGCUGUCGUAGACCCGAAACCAGGUGAUCUACCCAUGUCCAGGGUGAAGUUCAGGUAACACUGAAUGGAGGCCCGAACCCACGCACGUUGAAAAGUGCGGGGAUGAGGUGUGGGUAGGGGUGAAAUGCCAAUCGAACCUGGAGAUAGCUGGUUCUCUCCGAAAUAGCUUUAGGGCUAGCCUCAAGGUAAGAGUCUUGGAGGUAGAGCACUGAUUGGACUAGGGGCCCCUACCGGGUUACCGAAUUCAGUCAAACUCCG
rnacentral:rRNA from 1 species